AGGUAAGAUAUCAGUAGACAUUUUCAAACAUAUUUUUAGCAGGCUUUAAAGUUUUUAUUCUGAAUACAUAAUUAUGUUUUGUAGCUUUUGUUUACGUUGAACGUGCAUUGUGGUUAUUUUCUUAGGAUAAAUGAAUAUUAGCUAUGCAGCUAACGUUAACUUAGGAAAAUAACCACAAUGAAUAACAGUAUAACUCACCAAGUUAGCUUUUUUGGUCAAGUUGAAUAUCUAAUUGCAGAUCAACACGGGUUACAUUUGAUAAAUAUAAUGUGGGCUUUCAUUAAUUCUCUGUGUGUGAUUUGUACUUUUUGCAGUGCAGGCCUGAAUACGGUCCAGCUCACGGGCAUCAUUUAUAAAGUGAUCAAUUGGAAUAGACGAGGAGCAGGGCUGGACUGGUAAUCUGGCCUACCGGGCAUUUUUCCGGUGGACCGACGCACUUAGGGGCCGAUCAGUGUGGACUGGCCAUCGGUAGAACCGAGCGGGCGUAGUGUCGGCCGCGAUAAGCUAAACGAGUCGCCGCGUUAGCGAAUACUCUCCCCCAACAACUUUUGGGCCAGUUAUGUAAAAUCCCGGGAUGAUUUCUCUUUCCAGUCCAGCCCUGACAAGGAGCACAUGGAUAUUGUUGAAGUUAAACAAGGUUGAACACAUUUGCCUCAAGUUCCUUGAAUGCAGAACCACCAUGGAGAUCCAGAACCUUUGUGGGGACAGAGAUGGGCCUUGUGAGUGUGUGCUGUUGAAGAAAUCUCUCAGCUGUCUUGCAGACUUUCAGGACGCUGUCUGACGGUCUUAUAAAUCCACCUCAGGACUUCAUGUCGAUCAGUGUGUUCAUCUUGGGAAGAGCUCUCGACACGGAGUGCUGAUAAACAGGCUGAACGUCACUGCCUGAAAUGCCAGCAUAUCAGAAGAUGCUGCCUCCAGUGUCACUGUGAUAUCCGGUGGAGAACUGUUGCCACUAGCUCUGAUGGCAUGUCUUGCUACCAUUCUUUUGAAAGCUGAAUAAUGUGGGAUUGUUGUUAAAUCCAUUAGCAGAUUUGUUCCCACAUAUCUGCAAAUUUUUAUUGUAUUGUUCAGUUUAAGUCAAUUUUUGUAUGUACU